GACGAACGCUGGCGGCGUGCUUAACACAUGCAAGUCGAACGGAAAGGCUCUUCGGUGGGGGGGUGUGCGAGACGGGUAAGUGUGAGGAAGACGAGAGUAACCCGGCUCUGACAUAGGUAUAAGUACAGGAAACUAGUGCCAAUAGCGCACAGGUUCUCGCGUUGCAGGGGGUGGGUAGGAUAGCCUCCGCGGGUGGGGAUGGGCGCGUGGCUGAUCAGCUUGUUGGUGGGGUAGUGGCUUACCAAGGCUGUGACGGGUAGCCGGCCUGAGAGGGUGACCGGCCACAUUGGGACUGAGAUACGGCCCAGACUCCUACGGGAGGCAGCAGUGGGGAAUAUUGCACAAUGGGCGGAAGCCUGAUGCAGCAACGCCGCGUGCGGGAUGACGGCCUUCGGGUUGUAAACCGCUUUCGCCAGUGACGAAGCGUAAGUGACGGUAAUGGGUGAAGAAGCACCGGCUAACUACGUG
rnacentral:rRNA from 1 species